rnacentral:rRNA from 1 species
CCUACGGGUGGCAGCAGUGGGGAAUAUUGGGCAAUGGGCGCAAGCCUGACCCAGCAACGCCGCGUGAAGGAAGAAGGCUUUCGGGUUGUAAACUUCUUUUCUCAGGGACGAAGCAAGUGACGGUACCUGAGGAAUAAGCCACGGCUAACUACGUGCCAGCAGCCGCGGUAAUACGUAGGUGGCAAGCGUUAUCCGGAUUUACUGGGUGUAAAGGGCGUGUAGGCGGGCUGACAAGUCAGAUGUGAAAUCCGGGGGCUCAACCCCCGAACUGCAUUUGAAACUGUUGGUCUUGAGUAUCGGAGAGGCAGGCGGAAUUCCUAGUGUAGCGGUGAAAUGCGUAGAUAUUAGGAGGAACACCAGUGGCGAAGGCGGCCUGCUGGACGACAACUGACGGUGAGGCGCGAAAGCGUGGGGAGCAAACAGGAUUAGAUACCCGGGUAGUC